rnacentral:rRNA from 1 species
CAGCCGCCGCGGUAAUACGUAGGGUGCAAGCGUUAAUCGGAAUUACUGGGCGUAAAGCGUGCGCAGGCGGUUAUAUAAGACAGAUGUGAAAUCCCCGGGCUCAACCUGGGAACUGCAUUUGUGACUGUAUAGCUAGAGUACGGCAGAGGGGGAUGGAAUUCCGCGUGUAGCAGUGAAAUGCGUAGAUAUGCGGAGGAACACCGAUGGCGAAGGCAAUCCCCUGGGCCUGUACUGACGCUCAUGCACGAAAGCGUGGGGAGCAAACAGGAUUAGAGACCCCCGUAGUCCCUGUCUCUUAUAA